rnacentral:rRNA from 1 species
AACUAUAACGGUCCUAAGGUAGCGAAAUUCCUUGUCAGGUAAGUUCUGACCCGCACGAAAGGCGUAACGAUUUGGGCGCUGUCUCAGCUGUAGACUCGGUGAAGUCUUAGUACCUGUGAAGAUGCAGGUUACCCGCGACUAGACGGAAAGACCCCAUGGAGCUUCACUGCAGGUUGAUAUUGGGAUUUGAUGCAGCAUGUACAGGAUAGGUAGGAGGCUAGGAGAUGGAUACGCCAGUAUUCAAGGAGCCGCUGUUGGGAUACUACCCCUGUUGUAUUGGAUUUCUAACCGGACGACGUAGAGCCGUUGACGGGACAGUGUCAGUCGGGCAGUUUGACUGGGGCGGUCGCCUCCCAAAGAGUAACGGAGGCGCCCAAAGAUACCCUCAGCUUGGAUGGAAACCAAGCGCAGAGUGCAAAGGCAAAAGGGUGUUUGACUGCGAGACCCACAAGUCGAGCAGGGACGAAAGUCGGGCUUAGUGAUCCGGCGGUGCUGAAUGGAAAGGCCGUCGCUCAACGGAUAAAAGCUACCCUGGGGAUAACAGGCUGAUCUCCCCCAAGAGUUCACAUCGACGGGGAGGUUUGGCACCUCGAUGUCGGCUCAUCGCAUCCUGGAGCUGAAGUCGGUUCCAAGGGUUGGGCUGUUCGCCCAUUAAAGCGGUACGCGAGCUGGGUUCAGAACGUCGUGAGACAGUUCGGUCCCUAUCUGUCGUGGGCGCAGGAAAUUUGAGAAGAGCUGUCCUCAGUACGAGAGGACCGGGAUGGACGCAUCAAUGGUGGACCAGUUGUCACGCCAGUGGCAUAGCUGGGUAGCUAAAUGCGGAAGGGAUAAACGCUGAAGGCAUCUAAGUGUGAAACCCACUUCAAGAUGAGAUUUCCCAUUGCGCAAGCAAGUAAGACCCCUUAAAGACGAUAAGGUAGAUAGGUCAGGAGUGUAAGCAUGGUGACAUGUUAAGCGGACUGAUACUAAUAGGUCGAGGGCUUGACCGA